GGCCUUUUGAUAAUAAUUUAAGGUCGGGCCUGCUCAAUGACUAAGUUAAAUGGCUGCAGUAUUUUGACUGUACUAAGGUAGCAUAAUCAUUAGUUUCUUAAUUAGAAACUGGAAUGAAAGGUUUGAUGAAAAAAUAUCUGUCUCUUUUAUAUUUAUAAAAAUUUAUUUUUAAGUAAAAAGGCUUAAAUAUUUUUAAAAGACGAGAAGACCCUAUAGAGUUUAAUAGUUAAAUAAUUUUUAUUAAUAAAGUGAGAAAUUUAUUUUGAUUAUAAUGACUAUUUGGUUGGGGUGAUUAAGAAAUUUAAUAAACUUUUUAUUUUCAAUUACUUUAAUUUAAGGAAUUUUUGAUCCGUAUAUUAACGAUUAAAAGAACAAAUUACCUUAGGGAUAACAGCGUAAUCUUUUUUUAGAGUUCUAAUCGAUAGAAAGGAUUGCGA
rnacentral:rRNA from 1 species